rnacentral:misc_RNA from 1 species
GAUAAGAACGUAGCGAAAUGCGAUAAGUAGUGUGAAUUGCAGAAUUCAGUGAAUCAUCGAAUCUUUGAACGCACAUUGCGCCCCUUGGUAUUCCAUGGGGCAUGCCUGUUCGAGCGUCAUUUACACCCUCAAGCUCCGCUUGGUGUUGGGCGUCUGUCCCGCUUCGUGCGCGGACUCGCCCCAAAGGCAUUGGCAGCGGUCCUUGCCAGCUUCUCGCGCAGCACAUUGCGCUUCUCGAGGCUGGCGGAUCGGCGUCCAUCAAGCCCACUUCCACAGUUUGACCUCGGAUCAGGUAGGGAUACCCGCUGAACUUAAGCAUAUCAAUAAGCGGAGGA